UGGGGAAUUUUGGACAAUGGGGGCAACCCUGAUCCAGCCAUGCCGCGUGUGUGAAGAAGGCCUUCGGGUUGUAAAGCACUUUCGGACGGAACGAAAUCGCGCGGGUGAAUACCCCGCGUGGAUGACGGUACCGUAAGAAGAAGCACCGGCUAACUACGUGCCAGCAGCCGCGGUAAUACGUAGGGUGCGAGCGUUAAUCGGAAUUACUGGGCGUAAAGUGUGCGCAGGUGGCUUCGCAAGUCGAGUGUGAAAUCCCCGGGCUUAACCUGGGAAUUGCGCUCGAAACUACGGAGCUCGAGUGUGGCAGAGGGAGGUGGAAUUCCACGUGUAGCGGUGAAAUGCGUAGAGAUGUGGAGGAACACCAAUGGCGAAGGCAGCCUCCUGGGUCAACACUGACACUCAUGCACGAAAGCGUGGGGAGCAAACAGGAUUAGAUACCCCGGUAGUCC
rnacentral:rRNA from 1 species